UACGUAGGGUGCAAGCGUUGUCCGGAAUUAUUGGGCGUAAAGAGCUCGUAGGCGGUCUGUCGCGUCGGCUGUGAAAACUCGGGGGCUCAACCCCGAGCCUGCAGUCGAUACGGGCAGACUAGAGUGAUGUAGGGGGAGACUGGAAUUCCUGGUGUAGCGGUGAAAUGCGCAGAUAUCAGGAGGAACACCGAUGGCGAAGGCAGGUCUCUGGGCAUUAACUGACGCUGAGGAGCGAAAGCAUGGGGAGCGAACAGG
rnacentral:rRNA from 1 species